AUCAGACUGAAACUUAGAUUAAAGAUGUUUCAUGGACCUGAACUUUAAUCUCUGAACACUUCAGUUUAAUCUGUGAGAUUUAAGUUCAGGUCCAUGAAACAUCUUUAAUCUAAGUUUCAGUUUUU